rnacentral:tRNA from 1 species
GGGAUGUAGUUCAAUGGUAGAAACUUGCCUAGCAUACCCAAGACCCUGGGUUCAAUCCCCAGGAUCCCA